UCCGUUGCGAGGCGGAAUCCGAAGGAAGCCGGAGGCAAAGUUCCGGGCCGACGAACAGGAACCGCAUAUAAGGCAAAAGCAAGGCGGACGAGUUUGCAUAACAAAACGAAGUCCUAAAAGCCGGACUGUUAUAACGACCUCCGGUUUGCUGCCCGAACCUUGCAAUGUAAAUGCGGCGG
rfam:Termite gut metagenome tgut2b_Contig16834, whole genome shotgun sequence.